rnacentral:rRNA from 1 species
UACGUAGGAGACGAGCGUUGUCCGGAGUUACUGGGCGUAAAGGGUGCGCAGGUGGCGGCGCGCGUGGGGGGUGAAAUCGCCCGGCUUAACUGGGCGGGGGCCUUCCAGACGGCGUGGCUUGAGCAGCGGAGGGGGACGUGGAAUUCCGGGUGGAGCGGUGAAAUGCGUAGAUAUCGGGAGGAACACCAGUGGCGAAGGCGACUUCCUGGCCUGUUCUUGACGCUGAGGCGCGAAAGCUAGGGGAGCAAACGGG